UCCUAAAUCAUUAAAGAAAGAAAUGAAAAAAACUUAAUACCUAAGGAGAAAUAAAACCUAAUAACAAAAACCUCUAACCUGUUUGGGUUCCUAAACACAUUUCCUCUUUUUUACAUCUGUAACUAUCACCGGAGCCAUCUGGUUUCUUCCAUCACUGUAUUGUUCUUCGAAAACCCUACCAGACCUCUCCAAAGCCUGAGUUCUUCGGAGAAAAUAUGUACCAUUUUUCUUUAAAAACACCAUCACCAAACUCAGAAUGGUAACACAACUCCUUUAACAUUCCAAAACCCUUCUAUGAUCGUUGACAAUGAUAGGCUCUACUUCCGAUGAUACCUCUUCCAUCCAGUAGAUCAGGGCAUCACCUUCCACAACCAGAUCUAAAAAGCCCAUUUCUUCCCCGAAAAUAAUAACUUCAAGACAAGCCUUCGCUUCUGCUGCAAUCGAAUCCCCAGUUCUUCCUAGUGGGUAACUACUAGAUCCCACAACAAAGCCAUCCUGAUCUCUUGUAAUGAUUCAUGUUGUCGCUUUCAUUUCCUGUUGAUAGAAUGCUACAUCAAAAUUAAUCUUGCCUUGUUCUGGGGGUCUCCAAAAUUCCUCCCUUGGUUUAAUAUUAGAUUCUGUAAUGGAUUUCAUUUGAUCCAACUCAAAGGCGUAGGCUUUAAUUAUAACGCCCCCAAAACUGAUGUUAGAAUUAUUCAGGCUAGUUGGUUGGAUUAGUGGUUCAGUAAGACUGUUAAGUUAGUUUUCAUGCUUUGGGAGCAAAAUGAGUUUGUUGGUUUAGUGGCUAACUCUUUGGUAGCUUACUUUUGGUCUUGGGUUUAAGUCCCCAUGUAUGUAAUGUGGGAAUUUUUUCAAAGUAUUUUUGUUUUUAAUUCUUUAAAAUAUUGUUAAUUAAAAUUUGAGGGGUUUUGACAAA